CACAGUCACUGUCGAACAUGCUGUGAUAAUGGAGGGUAGCAAGAGACAGGAAGGUGCAGCGUUGCCCUUUCAAACUUUGUCAGGAGAGUUGAGGAGACUAAUGAAAGACAGCUGUGAGGGGAGGGGGAGGGGGUAAAUCCAACAAAUGCAGAAUGGAGGAGAGCAGAAAGGUGUUAUUCUGCUUUAGAAAGGGGACAUUUAAAGACUUAAACCAGUUUUAAGUCUUUACAUUUAACAUCUAAAACAAAAGUAGUGAAGGAGUUUCCUGGACUUCCCAUGUGGACAACAAUCUGUGCUGCUAGAUGAGAGCUGAUCCUGGAGCACCUCACAAGAAGUCCAACUGACCAUAACUGCAGUCUCCAGUCCAGCAUGAUGGUGAAGACACAAAUCUAAAAAUCAGCUCACAAAACAGCCACAGACAGUAUCAGUCAAACACUUCUCGUCCCUGUGAGGCUAUAAGGCGAGACUCC